rnacentral:tRNA from 1 species
GGAGGGGUGCCUGAGUGGUUGAAAGGACCGGUCUUGAAAACCGGCGUGCGUGCAAGCGUACCGUGGGUUCGAAUCCCACCCCCUCCGCCA